AACGAACGCUGGCGGCAUGCCUAACACAUGCAAGUCGAACGAGACCUUCGGGUCUAGUGGCGCACGGGUGCGUAACGCGUGGGAACCUGCCUUUAGGUUCGGAAUAACUCAGAGAAAUUUGAGCUAAUACCGGAUGAUGUCUUCGGACCAAAGAUUUAUCGCCUUUAGAUGGGCCCGCGUUGGAUUAGCUAGUUGGUGGGGUAAAGGCCUACCAAGGCGACGAUCCAUAGCUGGUCUGAGAGGAUGAUCAGCCACACUGGGACUGAGACACGGCCCAGACUCCUACGGGAGGCAGCAGUGGGGAAUAUUGGACCAUGGGCGAAAGCCUGAUCCAGCAAUGCCGCGUGAGUGAUGAAGGCCUUAGGGUUGUAAAGCUCUUUUACCCGAGAUGAUAAUGACAGUAUCGGGAGAAUAAGCUCCGGCUAACUCCGUG
rnacentral:rRNA from 1 species